rnacentral:rRNA from 1 species
CCUACGGGUGGCAGCAGUGGGGAAUAUUGGACAAUGGGCGAAAGCCUGAUCCAGCCAUGCCGCGUGUGUGAAGAAGGCCUUCGGGUUGUAAAGCACUUUCAGUGGGGAAGAAAGCCUUGGGGCUAAUACCCUCGAGGAAGGACAUCACCCACAGAAGAAGCACCGGCUAACUCCGUGCCAGCAGCCGCGGUAAUACGGAGGGUGCGAGCGUUAAUCGGAAUUACUGGGCGUAAAGCGCGCGUAGGCGGUCUGAUAAGCCGGUUGUGAAAGCCCCGGGCUCAACCUGGGAACGGCAUCCGGAACUGUCAGGCUAGGGGGCAGGAGAGGAAGGUAGAAUUCCCGGUGUAGCGGUGAAAUGCGUAGAGAUCGGGAGGAAUACCAGUGGCGAAGGCGGCCUUCUGGACUGACACUGACGCUGAGGUGCGAAAGCGUGGGUAGCAAACAGGAUUAGAUACCCCUGUAGUC